GAAAAAAGGGGACGGCGCAGAUCACCCAUUUCGAUUCUGUAUAACGGGCAUAACGGAAGAUGGGCGCCUGCGAGACUCGGGAUAGGCCAUCCCGCGGCACACGCAUGCGCUGAAGGCAAGAUGUUGCCUACCUAUCAGGCGCUAUGGGAGCUGCGAGGCCACGCCGUACUCACCUCUUACCGGCGUGGGCUCGUCGACGUGCACCAGGACGUGCCCGGUCACCGUCUCUCCCGCGUAGUACGUGGGCUGCGGCCGGUCGAACCUGACCCGGAGGUUGAUGGGCAUGGCGGCGGAGAGUAGGGCUGCACUGCAGGGCGGACUCUUCUUGUGUUCGGGUGGUUCGGCACUCGCCGGCUAAA